ACUCUCAAGCUUCUUUCCAACGAAGUCUCUUCCUCCUCUAAACUCAGUGUGCCGCUCAAGCACUUCUUCUUCAUUUGCUCAAACGAACUACGCCGCCGUUCAUCUCUACUUCGUCUCGCCGUCGCAAAUCUUUCGUCAUUCACAUCUCUGCCUCUCUUCAUAAUUUCCUCACCUUCCAUACUCAACUUCUCCGAUCUCCAUGCUUACCGCCAUCGUUCAAAGUCCGGCUACAACCUCUCUUGUUUCUCUCAGCAUUCGCAGUUUUUACCUUAUUCGCACUCAGUCUUCGUUACAAACUCUAAAUUUGACCCUAACGCGCCUAACACUCAGAUUAAGCGGCAACGACAACAUUUCUCGAUCUGA